rnacentral:rRNA from 1 species
AUUGAACGCUGGCGGCAGGCCUAACACAUGCAAGUCGAACGGUAGCACAGAGAGCUUGCUCUCGGGUGACGAGUGGCGGACGGGUGAGUAAUGUCUGGGAAACUGCCCGAUGGAGGGGGAUAACUACUGGAAACGGUAGCUAAUACCACAUAACGUCGCAAGACCAAAGUGGGGGACCUUCGGGCCUCACACCCUCGGAUGUGCCCAGAUGGGAUUAGCUAGUAGGUGGGGUAAUGGCUCACCUAGGCGACGAUCCCUAGCUGGUCUGAGAGGAUGACCAGCCACACUGGAACUGAGACACGGUCCAGACUCCUACGGGAGGCAGCAGUGGGGAACAUUGCACAAUGGGCGCAAGCCUGAUGCAGCCAUGCCGCGUGUAUGAAGAAGGCCUUCGGGUUGUAAAGUACUUUCAGCGGGGAGGAAGGCGGUGAAGUUAAUAACUUCACCGAUUGACGUUACCCGCAGAAGAAGCACCGGCUAACUCCGUGCCAGCAGCCGCCGUAA